ACAUACGACCAUAGGGUGUGGAGAACAGGGCUUCCCGUCCGCUCAGCCGUACUUAAGCCACACGCCGGGAGGUUAGUAGUUGGGUGGGUGACCACCAGCGAAUCCCUCCUGUUGUAUGUC
rfam:Aspergillus flavus NRRL3357 scf_1106287692089 genomic scaffold, whole genome shotgun sequence.